ACAUCGGUUGUUUAAUGGUAAAACGUUGGUCUCCAAAACCAGAAAUGUAAGUUCGAUUCUUACCCGAUGUG
rnacentral:tRNA from 1 species